CCUACGGGGGCCAGCAGUGAGGAAUAUUGGUCAAUGGCCGCAGGGCUGAACCAGCCAAGUCGCGUGAGGGAUGACGGUCCUAUGGAUUGUAAACCUCUUUUGUCAGGGAGCAAAGGGCGCCACGUGUGGCGCUUUGCGAGUACCUGAAGAAAAAGCAUCGGCUAACUCCGUGCCAGCAGCCGCGGUAAUACGGAGGAUGCGAGCGUUAUCCGGAUUUAUUGGGUUUAAAGGGUGCGCAGGCGGAAUGUCAAGUCAGCGGUAAAAUUUCGGGGCUCAACCCCGUCGUGCCGUUGACACUGGCGUUCUUGAGUGAGCGAGAAGUAUGCGGAAUGCGUGGUGUAGCGGUGAAAUGCAUAGAUAUCACGCAGAACUCCGAUUGCGAAGGCAGCAUACCGGAGCUCAACUGACGCUCAUGCACGAAAGCGUGGGUAUCGAACAGGAUUAGAUACCCGAGUAGUC
rnacentral:rRNA from 1 species